rnacentral:rRNA from 1 species
CCUACGGGAGACAGCAGUGGGGAAUAUUGGGCAAUGGGCGCAAGCCUGACCCAGCAACGCCGCGUGAAGGAAGAAGGCUUUCGGGUUGUAAACUUCUUUUCUCAGGGACGAAGCAAGUGACGGUACCUGAGGAAUAAGCCACGGCUAACUACGUGCCAGCAGCCGCUGUAAUACGGAGGUGGCAUGCGUUAUCCGGAUUUACUGGGUGUAAAGGGCGUGUAGGCGGGGACGCAAGUCAGAUGUGAAAACCACGGGCUCAACCUGUGGCCUGCAGUUGAAACUGUGUUUCUUGAGUACUGGGGAGGCAGACGGAAUUCCUAGUGUAGCGGUGAAAUGCGUAGAUAUCAGGAGGAACACCAGUGGCGAAGGCGGUCUGCUGGACAGCAACUGACGCUGAGGCGCGAAAGCGUGGGGAGCAAACAGGAUUAGAUACCCUUGUAGUC